ACGAUUGACGGAGCGAAGCGACGUCAAAGCGUAUACAAAGUCGAGUCGGUUUAAGGAUACGUUCGUUGGGUAGGGGAGCGUUCUGUAAGCCUGUGAAGGUGGCCUGUGAGGGUUGCUGGAGGUAUCAGAAGUGCGAAUGCUGACAUAAGUAACGAUAAAGCGGGUGAAAAGCCCGCUCGCCGGAAGACCAAGGGUUCCUGUCCAACGUUAAUCGGGGCAGGGUGAGUCGACCCCUAAGGCGAGGCCGAAAGGCGUAGUCGAUGGGAAACGGGUUAAUAUUCCCGUACUUGGUGUUACUGCGAAGGGGGGACGGAGAAGGCUAUGUUGGCCGGGCGACGGUUGUCCCGGUUUAAGCGUGUAGGCUGGUUUUCCAGGCAAAUCCGGAAAAUCAAGGCUGAGGCGUGA
rnacentral:rRNA from 1 species